CACUUCGGUGGGGAUUAGUGGCGAACGGGUGAGUAACACGUGGGCAAUCUGCCCUGCACUCUGGGACAAGCCCUGGAAACGGGGUCUAAUACCGGAUACUGAGUCUCGCGGGCAUCUACGAGGUUCGAAAGCUCCGGCGGUGCAGGAUGAGCCCGCGGCCUAUCAGCUUGUUGGUGAGGUAAUGGCUCACCAAGGCGACGACGGGUAGCCGGCCUGAGAGGGCGACCGGCCACACUGGGACUGAGACACGGCCCAAACUCCUACGGGAGGCAGCAGUGGGGAAUAUUGCACAAUGGGCGGAAGCCUGAUGCAGCGACGCCGCGUGAGGGAUGACGGCCUUCGGGUUGUAAACCUCUUUCAGCAGGGAAGAAGCGAAAGUGACGGUACCUGCAGAAGAAGCGCCGGCUAACUACGUGCCAGCAGCCGCGGUAAUACGUAGGGCGCAAGCGUUGUCCGGAAUUAUUGGGCGUAAAGAGCUCGUAGGCGGCUUGUCACGUCGGUUGUGAAAGCCCGGGGCUUAACCCCGGGUCUGCAGUCGAUACGGGCAGGCUAGAGUUCGGUAGGGGAGAUCGGAAUUCCUGGUGUAGCGGUGAAAUGCGCAGAUAUCAGGAGGAACACCGGUGGCGAAGGCGGAUCUCUGGGCCGAUACUGACGCUGAGGAGCGAAAGCGUGGGGAGCGAACAGGAUUAGAUACCCUGGUAGUCCACGCCGUAAACGGUGGGCACUAGGUGUGGGCAACA
rnacentral:rRNA from 1 species